CCUACGGGAGGCAGCAGUGAGGAAUAUUGGUCAAUGGGCGAGAGCCUGAACCAGCCAAGUCGCGUGAGGGAAGACGGUCCUACGGAUUGUAAACCUCUUUUGUCAGGGAGCAAGGAGCGCCACGAGUGGCGCGGCGAGAGUACCUGAAGAAAAAGCAUCGGCUAACUCCGUGCCAGCAGCCGCGGUAAUACGGAGGAUGCGAGCGUUAUGCGGAUUUAUUGGGUUUAAAGGGUGCGCAGGCGGAAGCGGCACGUCAGCGGUAAAAUUGCGGGGCUCAACCUCGCCGCGCCGUUGAAACUGCUCUUCUCGCGUGGGCGUGAAGUAUGCGGCAUGCGUGGUGUAGCGGUGAACUGCAUAGCUAUCACGCAGAACUCCGAUUGCGAAGGCAGCAUACCGGCGCCCAACUGACGCUCAUGCACGAAAGCGUGGGUAUCGAACAGGAUUAGAUACCCCAGUAGUC
rnacentral:rRNA from 1 species